UGGAGAAGGGGAGCACGUGCAAGAUGAACAAGGAGAGAGAGCUUGCACGUGCCCUGCUUCUCCAAC
rfam:Cephalotus follicularis DNA, scaffold: scaffold3114, isolate: St1.